rnacentral:rRNA from 1 species
UUGGUCAAUAGCCUAACGGCUGAACCAGCAACUUGGAGGAAAGUAUAGCGAAAGCUAAUUGUAAAUAUUACAAGCUCGAUUUACUCGGUUAAAAUUCUAGAUAGGAUUAUGAUAAUGACAUUACCUAUCUAUAUGUCUUGACCAAAUUACGUGCCAGCAGUCGCGGUAAUACGUAAAAGACUAGUGUUAUUCAUCUUUAAUAGGUUUAAAGCGUACCUAGACGGUUAAUCAAGCCUAAAUAAGGUACUAAUUAAACUAGAGUUUUAUGUAAGGGUGCAUUAAGGUACUGUUGAGGUGUAGAGAUGAAAUUCUGUCAUACCAGAUUAUUGGCACGGGUUUAGGCGAAAGCAUCACCUUAUGUAAUAACUGACGUUGACGGACGAAGGCUUUGUAUCGCUAACAGGAUUAGAUACCCCAGUAGUCUAAGCAGAAAAUGAUGAGUGUCAUAGGUUGAAUAUAAUUAUUCGGUCUAUAAAUGAAAGUGUAAGCACUCCACCUCAAGAGUAAUUUGGCAACAUUGGAACUGAAAUCAUUAGACCGUGUUUGAAACCAGUAGUGAAGUAUGUUGUUUAAUUAGAUGCCACGCAAAAAACCUUACCACAAUUUGAAUAUUAAAGAAAAUUUUUUACAAGCGCUGCACGGCUGUUUUUAGUUAAUGUCGUGAGAUUUUGGUUAGUUCCAUUAAAUUAACGUAAACCCUAACUUUAUUUUUAGAUAAAGUUGUUCGCCGCUAGAUUGGCUAAGAUAACAGGGAUUAAGACAAGUCAUCAUGGCCUUAAUAUUGUGGGCUA